rnacentral:rRNA from 1 species
GACGAACGCUGGCGGCGUGCUUAACACAUGCAAGUCGAACGGAAAGGCCCUGCUUUUGUGGGGUGCUCGAGUGGCGAACGGGUGAGUAACACGUGAGUAACCUGCCCUUGACUUUGGGAUAACUUCAGGAAACUGGGGCUAAUACCGGAUAGGAGCUCCUGCUGCAUGGUGGGGGUUGGAAAGUUUCGGUGGUUGGGGAUGGACUCGCGGCUUAUCAGCUUGUUGGUGGGGUAGUGGCUUACCAAGGCUUUGACGGGUAGCCGGCCUGAGAGGGCGACCGGCCACAUUGGGACUGAGAUACGGCCCAGACUCCUACGGGAGGCAGCAGUGGGGAAUAUUGCACAAUGGGCGGAAGCCUGAUGCAGCAACGCCGCGUGCGGGAUGACGGCCUUCGGGUUGUAAACCGCUUUCGCCUGUGACGAAGCGUGAGUGACGGUAAUGGGUAAAGAAGCACCGGCUAACUACGUG